GGUUAUGAGACUUCAACAUGCCGUAGCACCAGAUCACCAACUCAAAAUUUUUUAGACUUGAUUCUGAAAUUGUAGUAUUUGGCCAUCCUUUAUCGAAGGAUACCAUUCACAUGGUAGCUCGUUCCCUACUCUCCUCAAUCAGAUCAAGGUUGGUUUGGAACCAUUCAGAGUUGAUGUCCUCGUUGUACUCCUCGACCCUG
rnacentral:lncRNA from 1 species